rnacentral:rRNA from 1 species
GAUGAACGCUGGCGGCGUGCCUAAUACAUGCAAGUCGAGCGAACAGACGAGGAGCUUGCUCCUCUGACGUUAGCGGCGGACGGGUGAGUAACACGUGGAUAACCUACCUAUAAGACUGGGAUAACUUUGGGAAACCGGAGCUAAUACCGGAUAAUAUAUUGAACCGCAUGGUUCAAUAGUGAAAGACGGUUUUGCUGUCACUUAUAGAUGGAUCCGCGCCGCAUUAGCUAGUUGGUAAGGUAACGGCUUACCAAGGCGACGAUGCGUAGCCGACCUGAGAGGGUGAUCGGCCACACUGGAACUGAGACACGGUCCAGACUCCUACGGGAGGCAGCAGUAGGGAAUCUUCCGCAAUGGGCGAAAGCCUGACGGAGCAACGCCGCGUGAGUGAUGAAGGUCUUCGGAUCGUAAAACUCUGUUAUUAGGGAAGAGCAAAUGUGUAAGUAACUAUGCACGUCUUGACGGUACCUAAUCAGAAAGCCACGGCUAACUACGUG